rnacentral:rRNA from 1 species
UGCAGUCGAACGGUAGAGGGGGCACCCCUUGAGAGUGGCGAACGGGUGAGUAAAGCAUCGGAACGUGCCCAGUAGUGGGGGAUAGCCCGGCGAAAGCCGGAUUAAUACCGCAUACGACCUACGGGUGAAAGGGGGGGAUCGCAAGACCUCUCGCUAUUGGAGCGGCCGAUGUCAGAUUAGGUAGUUGGUGGGGUAAAGGCCUACCAAGCCGACGAUCUGUAGCUGGUCUGAGAGGACGACCAGCCACACUGGGACUGAGACACGGCCCAGACUCCUACGGGAGGCAGCAGUGGGGAAUUUUGGACAAUGGGCGCAAGCCUGAUCCAGCCAUGCCGCGUGCGGGAAGAAGGCCUUCGGGUUGUAAACCGCUUUUGUCAGGGAAGGAAUCCUUUGAGCUAAUACCUCGGGGGGGUGACGGUACCUGAAGAAUAAGCACCGGCUAACUACGUGCCAGCAGCCGCGGUAAUACGUGGGGUGCAAGCGUUAAUCGGAAUUACUGGGCGUAAAGCGUGCGCAGGCGGUUAUGUAAGACAGGUGUGAAAUCCCCGGGCUUAACCUGGGAACUGCACUUGUGACUGCAUAGCUUGAGUGCGGCAGAGGGGGAUGGAAUUCCGCGUGUAGCAGUGAAAUGCGUAGAUAUGCGGAGGAACACCGAUGGCGAAGGCAAUCCCCUGGGCCUGCACUGACGCUCAUGCACGAAAGCGUGGGGAGCAAACAGGAUUAGAUACCCUGGUAGUCCACGCCCUAAACGAUGUCAACUGGUUGUUGGACGGCUUGCUGUUCAGUUACGUAGCUAACGCGUGAAGUUGACCGCCUGGGGAGUACGGCCGCAAGGUUGAAGCUCAAAGGAAUUGACGGGGACCCGCACAAGCGGUGGAU